CGCUUGGAAGAUUCAAAAUAUAUGUGCAAGGAUAGCAUGAGAGAAUGCACUGAUUCAUGAUGAGAAGUAAGGAGGACUAAAAGAAUGCCAAAUUUGCAAGACAUCUAGAUAACUGGGGCCUCUCGGACCCCGAGAACUGGAUCAAACCAACCUUGCAGUUUGGACUGAGACCAAGGGCUCGGAGAGCAUGCGUAAGAAGAAAAGGUUAAAAAGUUCAGCUCUGAUGAAGACAUCUUACUUCAUCCCAACGACCACCCGGACAACCACCAGAGAGUGAUACGCAAGCGUAGAAGGACUGAUAAGAUAAUUAGCAUACGAAGCGGGGCUAGGUGGAGCUAGGAAAUGGACAUGCAUAGAUGUGUUGUGAAACUUAAUGCAUAUGUAAUAUUUUAGGAGAUGAGUGAACAAAUCGGACGAAGUUAGAUUUGGGCAGGCAUGCCCCUAACUUCCGGUGCCUAAUAAGGCACCUUCAUAUAAUCACCUUGUGGAUUAUGUGUUUUCAUGAACGCUAACAUUUUGGCAACCCGGGUGGGACCUUGUGGGCACUGCUGAGGCGGCUCAUGAGCUGAUCAUGCUCCAGCCGGCACCGAGGAGUUUCUCGGGGAGCCAUUGGCCGUGACCGACCCCCGCUGCUCACAACGUACCUCUGGAGGGCUCAACUUCGAAGUGUUCUGGUGUGGAAUCGACCAUUGUCACUGGAAAAUCCUGUCCACGAUAUUCAGCCAGGCGACUGAGUGUACAUUAAGAACUGGAACAAAGAACCCCUGAAAGAACGGUGGGCCGGACCUUAUCAAGUAUUAUUGACUACUUUUACAGCUGUAAAAGUAGAAGGGGUGGACGCUUGGAUUCAUUAUACUCGGGUGAAAAAGUUUCCCGAACUUUGGUCGGUGCGAGCAAUCGGAGAUACAAAACUACAGCUGAGGCGCGUAUAACCAUACAAUGUCGGGGUUCUUAACAACAGUAACGAUAACAGUAAUUGUUUUGUGUAAAUACCUUGUAAUUGGGUUCCUAGAAAUACCAGAAAAAUAUAAGAAAGAGGAAAUAUUUAGAGGAUAAAAUGUUACUUUGGAAUGUGGAAUGCACGACAAUAAACCAAUAACAAUUAGCUCUCUACAGGUGGUCUGGGAGAAAAUAAAUGACUCCGGACAGAGCCAGGAAAUAUACGUAAACACAACUGGGGACAAUACAGGAUUGAAGGCUGGAUGGAAGGGGAAGGCAUAUGUAAGUAAAACCCUAGAACUGGGCCAACAACUGAGAGGAGCUACCACCCUAACCCUGUUUAGUGUUACUAAUGGCAAUGAAGGAAACUACUGGUGCAUAGUAACACAUGAAAAUAGUACAGAUUAUGGGAUAAGAGAAAUAUUGGUAUGUCCGAAAUUGGAUAAAGGGAUAUUGGUAGCCCACCAAAAAGGAUCUUGAAGAAAAAGGGAGGACCAGGUACUAUGGACACAAGUGGUACAGAUCCCACACAGGCAACCAUCAGAGAAUUUACUGGUAGGAUUGAUUAAAGAUUUUGCCAUAAUGAAAGGAACUGAUAGAAUUACUGCUUGUAUGCCCAUUCCAAAAGCAGCAGGGGACCCGCUUGAGUGGGAUAUAACAACCUCCCCACAGCCCCAAGUAAAAGGAAAUAAAACAAUUCAAUGUAAAGAAGUGAAAAUUUUAGAGAGGAUAAAUGUUACGCAAUACUAUAGGAAACUGAGCCCCCCAGCAUCAAGGUCUGAAUGUGAAAAGAAGAACUACCAAUUCGUAACGAUAGGCAGAUUUAAGAAUGUAGGACGGUGUCAUUACAAUGAACUACGUAUAGUAGAAGGACCUAGAGAAAAGAUUACUUGGGAAUGCCAAGAGAAAAAUGAGCCAAAAGGAAUGAAAGGGUGGGAUAGUGCUUGGACAGUAAGUUUAUUGCAGAAAUUCCAGUAUGGAGGGAAUACAUCAUGGUGUAUUAAAUGGCAGGGAAAGCAGAAUGGAACUGAUCAGCUUUAUACAGUAAGCCGGGUUGACAGUAGUGGUAGACAAGAGUCAACAAAGGUAGCUUGGUGGACCUGUGAGAAGAAAUAUACUUGCGACAGUAAUAAUGAAGAUAUCAAGCACUUACCCCCGGUAUUGAUAGCUCUAGGGCAGGAUGUGCUUGCCGAGGAAUUAAGUACAAUUCGGAAAGAAAUAGCCAGGCAAGUCAAAUCGCAGUAGAUUGUAGCUAUAGUACCAUACAAAGUCCAGGACAAUUUGUAUGGGCAGCCAGUGAUGGAACUUGGACUACACACCUGCCAAUAGAUCGGGAAGUAAAAGAAAUAACUCUAGGGCUCCCUCCCCACACUGUGUCCAAUAUGGAAAAAGUCUCCUUUUAAGGGAAAGUUAGAAACCCUACAAAUUAGUAGAGCAAAAAGAAGUUUAGAAGAAGGGGCAGAUGAAGAUAUAUGGCAUGAACCCUCGGAUGGAGUAAAAUUCAGUUGGGCAUUAGAAUCUCUAUUUGCACAGGUAGCUACUUAUUGAAAUAGGGAAAUGAUUUAUAAACUUACAGGACAAGUGAGUAGGCUUGCGAGAGCUGCGAAAGAAGGCUUUAGAGACCUUAAUAUCCAACUACAAGCUACAACUAAAAUGGUGCUACAAAACCGAUUGGCAUUAGAUACACUGUUAUUAAAGGAACAUGGAGUAUGCGGAUUUCUAAAAGAUUGUAUUGAUCAUUGCUGCAUCCACAUUCCAAAUGUGACUGUUGAUGUAGAACAUGACAUAGAACAACUGGCUUGAGUGGA